GCCGGGGCGGGGUCUCGGGCAGGGGCGGGGAGCUUACCGACCUCCCGCCCCCGCUGCGCGCGUUUCUGGCCCUGCCAGUGUCUCCGCCGGUUGAAAGCGCGUGUCUGCGUCGGGUUCUGUUGGAGUGCGUUCGGUGCGCCGUGGGUCCGCGCUGCUUCCACCCAACUUCCUGUUAGUUUCUCUCCUGUCACAAUGGCAUGAUCUCGGCUCACUGCGACCUCUGCUUCCUGGGUUCAAGGAUUCUCCUGCCUCAGCCUCCCAAGUAGCUGGGAUUACAGGUUACAUUAGUUAUACACUCUGGAGGUGACUUGACCUGUCAUUGUGAACAAUUAUUGCUCUUGGACGACCCAGGACAUAGGCCAGCCAGUACGUACCCCAGUGUGUUGGAGAAUCGCGCUCGGCUUCUUCCUCUGUGCUGAGUCAUGAAAGUUGCCGGAGCAGGUGCAGUUACACAACCUCCAGACAUCUAGGCUUGCUGUCAAGGCUUCUGAUCAACAUGAGAUGACCGCCGUGUGGUAAACUGAUGAACCCUGACCCUGAUCAACAUGAGAUGACCGCCGUGUGGUAAACUGAUGAACCCCGACCCUGAUGAACGUGAGAUGACCGCCGUGUGGUAAACUGAUGAACCCCGACCCUGAUGAACGUGAGAUGACCGCCGUGUGGUAAACUGAUGAACCCCGACCCUGAUGAACGUGAGAUGACCGCCGUGUGGUAAACUGAUGAACCCCGACCCUGAUGAACGUGAGAUGACCGCCGUGUGGUAAACUGAUGAACCCCGACCCUGAUCAACGUGAGAUGACCGCCGUGUGGUAAACUGAUGAACCCCGACCCUGAUGAACAUGAGAUGACCGCCGUGUGGUAAACUGAUGAACCCCGACCCUGAUCAACAUGAGAUGACCGCCGUGUGGUAAACUGAUGAACCCCGACCCUGAUCAACAUGAGAUGACUGCCGUGUGGUAAACUGAUGAACCCUGACCCAUUAGGCUUUGGCUACAGAAUGUGGAAAUAAGUUGUGUUACUACAUGUGUGUAAUCCUAGGGUGCAGGACACCGGCCGGGAGGUUCCAUAGAGUGAUGGGUUCUGCAGGUAACUCAUCCUCUAGUCCUCUGUAAGCUCCUAGAAGGAAGAAAUUAUGUCCUUUAGACUAAUAAAAUUCCUCCAAACCAAAUACAGCACCUACUGUGAAGACACAAAGAUACUUUUAGAAUAGUAAAAACUUUAUCCAUUGAGAAAUUCCUUAAUGAAACAGUAUCCAAGAAGUCAUUUGCCAGCAGAUUUCUUAGAGGUGCGAUAAAGAAGAGGACAUUGCCAGUCGUCACAGCAGCUGCAAUAGCUCCUCUCUAUUGUUAAACAGUGGGAUAUCUUGUGCAGGUUUUCAGUUGACAAUCAAUUUUAAAGAUUAGUUUCGGUCCCCAUCAAUCAAUUAUUUAUUAACCCAUCAAUAAAAAUUUAAAUGCUCUGUGAGGUACAAUAGCUAUUAAAAGAGACAGAGGCACUUUCUGUGUCCAGAGGGGCUUUUAGUCUGCUCUGGAAAGCAAGAUGCGUGCAGAUGAGUGACGCAGUGCAUCGUGUGGAUGCAAAGGGAGGGACUCACAUGGGAACCAGAGGAGCUACGAAGGGAGGCAGUGGGGACUGGUGGGUCGAGACCUGGAAAUAACACAUGAAUAGGCAACAAAGGUUUCCUUUCCUCUUCCAUGCACUUCAGUCCUUGAAAAACGUCUUACCACGGAAUUCCACAGCGUACCAAGCGAUUCCACAGCUUGAUGGCACACUCUCCUUUCUCAGCAUUCUUGAAAAUGGCGUGUGAGCCAAGCCAUCUUACUGAGAAAUUACCUUAAACCAUUUGAUGAACCAAAAAUAUUUUGUAAUACCCAUCUCCGACAUUAGGUAGGCAAAUCACACAGAAACACCGAGGUCUUCUGAGUCAUAUUUAUCUGAAAAAUCACAGCUUGGGUGCAUGUGAAGCCAGAGGAGCACUCCUGGGGCCUGCGGUGCCAUCACUCAGCUCCCCUGGGCUUCACAUGGCCAUGGAGCACCCAGCAAGUGUAGGCUCUGAGCCUUCAGGGAGGGGCGGCAUCAGCCAGCACCAUCGUCUCCUGGGUCUUGUGCCUCUUCCUUGGUUGCGGUGUUGUCAGGGCCAGAAUUGGGCAAUUCCGGGUGACAUCCAGGUGUGGCUGCUGACACGGAGCACAGGACACCCUGCUCCUGUGGUUUGCAGCCCCGGCCUUCUCUUCGAGGACGCCUCUGCUCUUCUGCCUCACACUCGGAUUGGACCUUCUUCAGCACAGCCAGUGGCCGAGGCUUCCUCCCUGGGGCUCAGUGGAGCAGGACAGAUGCUGCAUCCAAACUCUUCCAUUGGGUUCCAGUCUGUUCCAGUCAUGCCCUUGAGCCUCUAAAGCUCCUAGGUGAGAGACGUAGCAGCUGACAGCACUUCCCACUUGAUUUGGGUGGACUCCAGCCUCCCCAGCAACAAUAAGAGAUCAAAAGCAUCGUUGAGGAAGCAGCUUGCUGAAACGCUGAGUGCCCGCCACUCUCAGGUCAGGUGGGACCGGCAGGCCAGCAUGAGUUCCUGAACACUUGGUUCUCAAUACUGGCCACAGCCACACUGUAAGGGGAAACAAGAGGGCACUGUAUGCAAACAUCUCUUGAACUCUGGAGUCUGCUCACCUUCCUGCCUCAAGCCCCUCUCCCACGUGGUCCAGUCACCAUUCUCCACAGAGACUACCCUAAAACCCAGCGACUCUCGUGUGCCUGCAGAAUGGCACAGCCCGUUCUCAUAGCAGCACUCCUGUUUAAUCAGAGGGAUGUUAACGACCAAGUCAUAUUUGCUCGAUUUGUGUUCAACAUAUUUCAUUUGUACCGAUAAAACUUAAAAAUAUCCCCACACAUGCAUUGCCUAUUAAAGAGUAUCUUCCAGGUACACCUCCCUUACACAUCAGUUAACUUGAUAAUUUCUUCCCAUUCUUGUGCAAUAAAUUUCCUUCCUGAUCAGCUCUGUCCAGCAGCAACAAUAAUCCACGUAGAGACAUGCAAACUAAAAGUCCGUUAGUGGAGGCACGAAGCUGAUGAGGCUUGGAAAAAAAUGACCGAUUUGAUUAAAAUUAGGACCCAUGGGAGUGGAGCUCUGCCUAUUUUAGAGGCAAAGUAAAUGCCUGGGAGUCCAAUCACCGACAUUCUGUUUGAGGUUUCUAAUCACAAGGAAGAUGGAGAAAAUGCAGAACAAGUGGUCAAGAACAGGGAGAUAAUAAAUAGAAUAUUUAUGGGCUGAGGAAAACAAUUACCAGGGGAAAGCCCAAGAAGCAAAGAUGAACAGAGAACGUGCUGACUGCGCUCGUUUGGAAAGGCCUCAUGGCCAAAGGAGGAGAGGCAUUAUGAGGAGCAGUGACCGAGUGGGCAGGACCCCCGGGGAUCAGGAAAGGUGCACGGGGGGAAAUGAGAGGCCUGAGCGGCUUCCCAGCGAAGGUUUUUGAAGCACGGUUUGAUUUUCUCUCUCCCCCUCACCAUCCCCAAAUUUUAGUUGUGACUAUCUCCAGGUACAUGGCUUGCGACAGGCGGUGUAUAAAAACUAAUGUCAGUUUAAUUUUAAAACCUUAGCCAUUUUCUGGAACUUAAAUAUCAAAGAGAAAAUGUCCACAUAUGAUGUUAAUUGAGGUUUGUCUCACUGGUGAUUUGUGCUGAUUCAAUUCCUGUUUCUUUUUUUUUUUCUUAAGGGGUCAGUUUUAGAAUUGGGAGAUAGGUGUAUAACAUAUGACUAUACAGCGCAGGUUGGUUUUUUAACAUAGAAAUAUCUGCCUUUAAAUGAGAACUGAAAACGGAGCUUCUUGGAGGCCACCUGCUGGUGGCAGUGAUCUGACCGCUGUUUAAGCUUUCUUUGAACUCCUUUUUUUAAAACAGCCUCCAUAAUCAAUGGUGUACGAUCUACUCUCGUGGUAAAACUUACUCAGUGAAGAGUGUGUUUUAUUUUCUGAGGAGCUGAACUGUUCCAACCUGAGUAUUCUGAAUAAGGACAGUGGUCGAGCAUGAGUGAUGCCAUCUGGGCUUAGAAAUAAGUGGGCCUAAAAUCUGAUUGUUUUCAUACAUUGUUCAGAUAUUGACGCAAAUAGCAAUUUAUUUUGUAAAAAAUGAUUGGUAUCCGGAACUUGCAACAGCUGUGUGUGGCUUGAAGGGAGAUGAAGUGGUGAAGGCCUGGUUUCCACCGAAGCUCUCACAGCCCAGCCUUUCACUGUGUGGCCGGGGGAAGGGUGCUCCGGGUGGGGGACGGGAAUGGUGGGACUGGGGAUGCCACGGGACAAGGCUGCUGGCCUGGAAGGUAGUCACGUGGAGAACCGCAGGAGAUGAGAUUGGAAAGUAGUAAUAAGCCAUGUGGAUAAGAACAGAGGAGCGGGUUUUAAGGGGGACGUCCUGAAAUGCUGCUCAUGUCGUUUCAGUUCCAUAGACCACAGGAAAUGCAGGUGAGAGGGCAGCCCGGUGGGAAGGAAGGAAGAGGGUGGUGGUGAGCCAGGUGAGUGUGGAGCCGCCCAGGGCACCGUGCUGUGCGAUAGCUCAGGCAUCGGGUGCUUCUGCCAAACCCUUCAGCAGCUGGUUUGGGGCCAAACGUCCUUCCUGUGUGAGAGAAGGCAGAGCCUAGGCAGCAUUCCAAACCCCAUCCAGAUGGGAGGCUGAGUGCAGAGCAAACGGAGCCCAGCACUCCAGAGCCGUGUCCCUUCACUGCCAUGAUCACAUCACAAACAGCGAGGCUUGGAGAGGACUUAAGAGCUCCUUCAAUGCCAUCUUCCAUCCACUGCGUGAGCCAGAAUAGAAAAAAAGGAAUAAGAAGAGGUCGGUUAAGCUCUCUAUUAAGUUGAGAAAAUGGGAACUUCAGGUGAUCAUGUGAGAUAUUCAAGUUAAAAAAAUUAUUUAAAAAGCACAUUCUUAUUAUUAAAAUUUUAGAAAGUACAGAGAAGGAAAUUUUAAUAACCUACACCUAGAACACUAAGAUACUGGUAACGUAGAAAAAUGUGUAGUUAAUGCCUUGAUGGAUUCUUUUCUAUUUUUUUCUCUAGCAAUAUUUAUGUCUAUCCACAGAAAGCGUACACUCAUGUAUUUGCAUGGCUAAUAUAUUUUAUGUAAAGUUCUAUAUAUUUCUCAACAUUUCACUUAAUAUUUCUUUAUAAACAUUUUU
rnacentral:lncRNA from 1 species